AGUGAACUGCGACUCAGGGUGAAAGCGUUGUGUCUUACAGUAUUCUGAGUGGCGGCUCCUGCCAAAUCUCUCAGCGGGGCAAUUGUUGCGAUGAUAGCCAAGAUGACCCGUUCAAUGGGGUUGUGGUGGGUCCAGGCCAUCAGCAACACAGGGGGAAAGAAUAUACACUGGCCAGGGCACCAGGCCUUUAGAAUUGAGUGUGUUGUUGGUGAGUUUGAGCUUGUGGAAGGAGACGGGGUACUGCAUCCACUUUUCUCCCAGAGCCGGGGAGUCUGGGUGGAUAAAGAAUCGGUUGGGCAGGUGAGGAUCAGGCAUGCCACUCACUUCCCAGUGAUCUCUGUUCCACUGCAGGGAAAAAUAUAUUGUUAAAUCCCCAUUAAAUAAAGCC